GAUGAAGAACGUAGCGAAAUGCGAUAAGUAAUGUGAAUUGCAGAAUUCAGUGAAUCAUCGAAUCUUUGAACGCACAUUGCGCCCGUCAGUAUUCUGGCGGGCAUGCCUGUUCGAGCGUCAUUACGCCCCUCAAGUCCCCUGUGGACUUGUGUUGGGGAUCGGCGAGGCUGGUUUUCCAGCACAGCCGUCCCUUAAAUUAAUUGGCGGUCUCGCCGUGGCCCUCCUCUGCGCAGUAGUAAAACACUCGCAACAGGAGCCCGGCGCGGUCCACUGCCGUAAAACCCCCCAACUUUUUAUAGUUGACCUCGAAUCAGGUAGGACUACCCGCUGAACUUAAGCAUAUCAAUAAGCGGAGGA
rnacentral:misc_RNA from 1 species